rnacentral:rRNA from 1 species
CCUACGUGGCGCAGCAGUGGGGAAUAUUGCGCAAUGGGCGAAAGCCUGACGCAGCGACGCCGCGUGAGGGAUGAAGGUCUUCGGAUCGUAAACCUCUGUCAGCAGGGAAGAACGGUCACUGUGCUAAUCAGCAGUGAAUUGACGGUACCUGCAAAGGAAGCACCGGCUAACUCCGUGCCAGCAGCCGCGGUAAUACGGAGGGUGCGAGCGUUAAUCGGAAUUACUGGGCGUAAAGCGCUCGUAGGCGGUAUGUCAAGUCAAGGGUGAAAUCCCCGCGCGCAACGUGGGAACUGCCUUUGAAGCUGGCAAACUGGAGUGUGUGAGAGGAUAGUGGAAUUCCAGGUGUAGGAGUGAAAUCCGUAGAUAUCUGGAGGAACAUCAGUGGCGAAGGCGACUAUCUGGCACAUAACUGACGCUGAGGAGCGAAAGCGUGGGUAGCAAACAGGAUUAGAUACCCGGGUAGUC